AGAUUAAGUUAUUAAGGGCGCACGGUGGAUGCCUUGGCACUAGAAGCCGAUGAAGGACGUUACUAACGACGAUAUGCUUUGGGGAGCUGUAAGUAAGCUGUGAUCCAGAGAUUUCCGAAUGGGGGAACCCAGCACAAGUUAUGUUGUGUUAUCGACAUGUGAAUUCAUAGCAUGUCAGAAGGCAGACCCGGAGAACUGAAACAUCUUAGUACCCGGAGGAAGAGAAAGAAAAAUCGAUUCCCUGAGUAGCGGCGAGCGAAACGGGAAGAGCCCAAACCAAUAGGCUUGCCUAUUGGGGUUGUAGGACACUCUAUACGGAGUUACAAAGGAAAAUGUUAGACGAAUCAUCUGGAAAGAUGAAUCAAAGAAGGUAAUAAUCCUGUAGUCGAAAAUGUUUUCUCUCUUGAGUGGAUCCUGAGUACGACGGAGCACGUGAAAUUCCGUCGGAAUCUAGGAGGACCAUCUCCUAAGGCUAAAUACUCUCUAGUGACCGAUAGUGAACCAGUACCGUGAGGGAAAGGUGAAAAGUACCCCGGAAGGGGAGUGAAAGAGAACUUGAAACCGUGUGCUUACAAAUAGUCAGAGCCCGUUAAUGGGUGAUGGCGUGCCUUUUGUAGAAUGAACCGGCGAGUUACGAUCUGAUGCAAGGUUAAGCAGCAAAUGUGGAGCCGUAGCGAAAGCGAGUCUGAAUAGGGCGAGAUAGUAUUUGGUCGUAGACCCGAAACCAGGUGAUCUACCCAUGGCCAGGCUGAAGUUCAGGUAACACUGAAUGGAGGGCCGAACCGACUUACGUUGAAAAGUGAGCGGAUGAGCUGUGGGUAGCGGAGAAAUUCCAAUCGAACUUGGAGAUAGCUGGUUCUCUCCGAAAUAGCUUUAGGGCUAGCCUCAAGUGAUGAUUAUUGGAGGUAGAGCACUGUUUGGACGAGGGGCCCCUCUCGGGUUACCGAAUUCAGACAAACUCCGAAUGCCAAAUAAUUUAACUUGGGAGUCAGAACGUGGGUGAUAAGGUCCAUGUUCGAAAGGGAAAGAGCCCAGACCACCAGCUAAGGUCCCAAAAUAUAUGUUAAGUGGAAAAGGAUGUGGCGUUGCCCAGACAACUAGGAUGUUGGCUUAGAAGCAGCCAUCAUUUAAAGAGUGCGUAAUAGCUCACUAGUCGAGUGACACUGCGCCGAAAAUGUACCGGGGCUAAACAUAUUACCGAAGCUGUGGAUUGUCCUUCGGACAAUGGUAGGAGAGCGUUCUAAGGGCGGUGAAGCAUGAUCGCAAGGACAUGUGGAGCGCUUAGAAGUGAGAAUGCCGGUGUGAGUAGCGAAAGACGGGUGAGAAUCCCGUCCACCGAUUGACUAAGGUUUCCAGAGGAAGGCUCGUCCGCUCUGGGUUAGUCGGGUCCUAAGCUGAGGCCGACAGGCGUAGGCGAUGGAUAACAGGUUGAUAUUCCUGUACCACCUAUUAUCGUUUUAAGCGAUGGGGGGACGCAGUAGGAUAGGCGAAGCGUGCUGUUGGAGUGCACGUCCAAGCAGUAAGACUGAGUGUUAGGCAAAUCCGGCACUCAUAAGGUUGAGCUGUGAUGGGGAGAGGAAAUACGUUUCCUCGAGUCGUUGAUUUCACACUGCCAAGAAAAGCCUCUAGCUAGAUACUUGGUGCCCGUACCGCAAACCGACACAGGUAGUCAAGAUGAGAAUUCUAAGGUGAGCGAGCGAACUCUCGUUAAGGAACUCGGCAAAAUGACCCCGUAACUUCGGGAGAAGGGGUGCUCUUUGGGGUGUAUGCCCGGAAGAGCCGCAGUGAAUAGGCCCAAGCGACUGUUUAUCAAAAACACAGGUCUCUGCUAAACCGUAAGGUGAUGUAUAGGGGCUGACGCCUGCCCGGUGCUGGAAGGUUAAGAGGAGUGGUUAGCUUCUGCGAAGCCACGAAUCGAAGCCCCAGUAAACGGCGGCCGUAACUAUAACGGUCCUAAGGUAGCGAAAUUCCUUGUCGGGUAAGUUCCGACC
rnacentral:rRNA from 1 species